UACGAAGGGGGCUAGCGUUGUUCGGAAUUACUGGGCGUAAAGUGUGCGCAGGCGGUUUCGCAAGUCAAGUGUGAAAGCCCCGGGCUUAACCUGGGAACUGCGCUUGAAACUACGGAACUCGAGUAUGGCAGAGGAAGGUGGAAUUCCACGUGUAGCGGUGAAAUGCGUAGAGAUGUGGAGGAACACCGAUGGCGAAGACAGCCUUCUGGGCCAAUACUGACGCUCAUGCACGAAAGCGUGGGGAGCAAACAGG
rnacentral:rRNA from 1 species